AUGUUUGGUAGGGGCAAGGAUUAGGUUUAAUGGGAUUAGAUCCGACUCGCACGGAUUAAACCCUUCGCUAGCAGUUCUUAGCGAACCACCCAAAAAACGUCCGGAUUCGUAAGACCUCCUCCCUCACGUCGUCCUCCUCAUCCUCAUCUCUGCGUCCUGCUCGCCGUCAGCUGCAUCCUGGUCGCCCUCAUCUGCAUCCUGCUCCUCAUCUGUUCCUCUCGUCGUCCGCUCCCUCGUCUUCACGUAACAGAUCUGCUCGCCCUCAUCUGCCUCCAGUUGUCUGCUUGCUGUUGCUCUGGCCUUCGAUUAAUGGUUGAUUCUUGUGAAGAAGAGAGGAGCAUAAACGGAAGGCUAAGGCUAAGGCUACUGCAUUACAGGUGUCCUUUAAUUUCCCUUUUCACAUGCAAUGCCUAG
rnacentral:sRNA from 1 species